ACUCCAAUACAAUUACAAACACUAACAAUUAUAAAACAUUUGCGUAAACCAUAAGCAAAAAUGGCUCAAAAAACAAGAUCAUUUAGUCUGUUGAGAAGACAUCUCUUUGAGAGACGUAUUUCAAGCCCAACUCAUUAAAAGAUAAUGUCUACUUACAUUAUUCUUAAUGCUUACUUACCGUAUCCUUAAUGCGUAUUUUAAUAUCGUAAAUAUUUACUUAUAUCAAUCUUAAUGCAUACUUACAAUAUUUUAAAAAAUAUAUAAUGAACUUGCCCAAUAAGAGAUGGUAUCUCAAAGAGACUAUCUCUUACAAGAAUUUGUGUUUUUUAAUGUGUAUAUGAGGUUGUCCGAUAGACAAGUAGGCCAUAUUAUUUGUGUGUAUUGAUAGCAUUCUUUUUAAUCUAGUUGAUAAGAUUUGUAUAUUUAUUAAAAAAAUUUUGAAAUGAUACGAUUUUAUGAUGAUGUCAUCUCUAUUGGGCUAACCUAUAUAUUAAAAUAAUCACUUAUAAUUUUAAAUGAGACGGUAUUAUGGUGAGAUAGUCUACUACAAGAUGAGUUGUAUUAAUUAUGGUUUUUUAUAUGUAUAUACUCACUCCGUUCUUUUUGGUUGUCCACUUUUGACAAAAAAAACCUCUUAUAAAAUAGACAAUAAAAAGGAAUUAAGAGAGUAUUUGAUUAGAUUUUUAUAUUAGUUGUGUUUAUUGAUAAAAAUUUACUUAAAAAUAAUAAAUAAUAUGCAAGGAGAAAACUUAAAAGUUUGAAGAAGCAUUUGAGGCAGAAGAACAAGAGAUAAUUGGUGCUGUAAAUGAUGGAUCAAUGGUGAAGAAGAAAAGGUAUGAAGCACUUGUGUAUAGGAAUUUGGAUGAGGGGAAAGCACUCAUUUCUUUGAAGCCUUUCUUGCAAGACAAACAACGUAUGCUACUUGCCUACGCUAACUAAUUACACAAAUUAACCUUUGAAUUUUUUAAAAGGUUAUUCACAUUUGGUGCUUUGUACUUUAUUAUUACUACACUAUUUAUGCACCAUUAUAUGUUUAUAUAUGUUUAUAAAUUAACCUUAAAAUGA